rnacentral:rRNA from 1 species
UACGAAGGGGGCUAGCGUUGCUCGGAAUUACUGGGCGUAAAGCGCACGUAGGCGGAUUGUUAAGUCGGGGGUGAAAUCCUGGAGCUCAACUCCAGAACUGCCUUCGAUACUGGCGAUCUCGAGUUCGGGAGAGGUGAGUGGAACUGCGAGUGUAGAGGUGAAAUUCGUAGAUAUUGGGAAGAACACCGAUGGCGAAGGCAGCCAUCUGGACCGACACUGACGCUGAGGCGCGAAAGCGUGGGGAGCAAACAGG